UCGUGUCCGUGCGGCUGGUCACCGGCUCCGGUGAGGGGCAGCAGAUCAGAGGUCUGGCAGGGAAGUAACUCCGGCGGCAGCAGGUGGCGGAGUUCGGAAAGGGAACUCGCGGGUCACGGCCAAUUGCGAACAGCGGGUGCUGUGCGGGGGUUUGGAUCCGAGCGGCGUCGGCAAGGGGAGUCACAGACGGCUGGGUUGGCGUCGCGGGUUGCUCGCGAAGGAGGCACGGCGAGGCUCGACGUUGUGGUGGCGCGGGUCGUCGGGCGGAGGCUGCUGCAAGGUGGUGCGACGCUGGGUGGGCGUCCGGAUCUGGCGCGGCUUCAGCGAGCGUUGGCGAGG
rnacentral:lncRNA from 1 species